AUGGUGGUUUUGGGGUUUGUUUGGGUGAUCCGUCGGCGAUAUUGGGGUUUUUGGGGUCACAAAUGGUGGUUUUGGGGUUUGUUUGGAUCAUCCUUUGGGUUUUUGGGGUCACAAAUGGUGGUUUUGGGGUUUGUUUGGGUCAUCCGUUGGGUUUUUGGGGUCAGAAAUGGUGGUUUUGGGGUUUGUUUGGGUGAUCCGUCGGCGAUAUUGGGGUUUUUGGGGUCACAAAUGGUGGUUUUGGGGUUUGUUUCGAUCAUCCGUUGGGUUUUUGGGGUCAGAAAUGGUGGUUUUGGGGUUUGUUUGGGUCAUCUGUUGGCGAUAUUGGGGUUUUUGGGGUCAGAAAUGGUGGUUUUGGGGUUUGUUUGGGUCAUCCGUUGGCGAUAUGGGGGUUUUUGGGGUCAGAAAUGGUGGUUUUGGGGUUUGUUUGGGUCAUUCGUUGGUGAUAUGGGGGUUUUUGGGGUCAGAAAUGGUGGUUUUGGGGUUUGUUUGGGUCAUCUGUUGGCGAUCCUGGAGUUUUGUUGGGUCACCCAAUGGCACUACUGGGUUUUCUGUGGGGUCACGUUGAUUUUGGUGUCCUUUGGGUCACCCAAUGGCAACGUUGGGGUUUUUUUUGGGGUCACCCAUUCCUAAUUUUGGAGAUUUGGGGAUCAACUGCAGACGAUGUUGGAGUUUUGGGGUCAACCGUGGUUGAUUUUAGGGUUUUUUGGGGUCAUCCAACAACAAUAUUGGGGUUUCUGGGUCACCUGUUGGAGAUUUGGGGUUUUUUUGGUCACCUGAUGGCAGUGUUGGGUUCCUUGGGUCCCAGUCAGCAGUUUUGGGGGUCAACCAUUGCCAACACUGCACAUUUCAAGUCACCUUUCAACGAUUUGGGGUCUUUUUCAGGGUCCUCCCUUGGGCUAUGUUGUAUUUUUUAGGACAUUCUUGGUGACGUCACAAUCCGUGGUGUCAAUUUUGGGGUCAUUUGGGGUCUUUUAAUGAAUUCUGUCUCUCCCUCAGCAAUGCUAGAGCAGCGUUCCGACGCGCUGCGCUCUUCCUCCAAAAACCCAUUUAUUUCCCAAAAAAAAAAACCCAAAAAAACCCCAGUCCCCCCUUUUUUGACAUACGGGAUGUCCCAAAUCCAUUUGGGGUUUCUCCCAUCAGCGGUGCUGCCGUCGGUGCCGGAGGAUCUGGGUGGGGGUGAAGGAGAAAUCCUGCUGGCACACAUCGCAGCGGUACGGGCGCUGCAGGGCUGAGCUCUGGGGGCAGCUCUGGGGUUCCUCUUCUGGGGGGGCUGCAAUUAGGGUUAGAGAGGGUUCAACCCCUUCUGCCCCCAAACCCCUUUAUUCCCCCAUAACCAACCCCCAAAAUCCCUUUUUAACCAUCCCCAAAACACCCCAAUCCCAUUUUAUCCCCACAACCAACACCCAAACCCCUUUAUUCCACAUAACCAACCCCCAAAAGCUCAUUUUAUCCCCACAACCAACACCCAAACCCC
ensembl:lncRNA